UGAUAUUUUAAAGGAAAUUAUCUAGCAAGACAGAAAAAAACUGUGCUUGUUUUAUAAUAUCUAUUAUGUAUACAACUUGGCUUCUUUAGUCAAACAAUCAACCAAAUAUUGAAAUAGUUUGCUUUUUAUGGAAGAUGACAACCUUAAGGAGAAAUUUGAGGUUUCUCUCUAGGUUAUCGGAAUCCAAGCACAACUAAAAAGAAACUUUAGGCAUAAGACUUGGACUCGAAAUGGGACUUAGCACAAACUACAUGCCGUAUACGUGUUGUAAAAGAAGCAAACUUCAAGUGAAUAAAUCUAGGUCAGAUUGCAGUGACCUGAGCUCCAACGAGCAACCCAUAAUGAGGAGCAUGAAAUGCCCAAGAAAUGAGUCUUUCAAAAGUAACAUGUAAGUAUGUGUACAUGGCCAGUAAAACAGCACCAGCAACAACAACAUCAACAACAAACAAAUGGAAUGCACUGCCCAUAUAAGCUUAAAGCAACAACUGCAAAAACAAUUACAACAACAGCUCACCAUAAUUUGUAUACAAAACGAAAGAAGAAGAAAAAGCAGAGGCAGCAAUGACAGAUGAAAAACACUAAGGCCAGUGCACAGUGGAGCAAAUUCAAUACUGGAAAAUAU